rnacentral:lncRNA from 1 species
CCCACCAUCGCACUAAAUCAGAAGCCCUAAAUCUCGAACAAGAAAUUAACCGGUAAGUGAAUCAACGAUUAUCGUGAUGAUGAUUACGAGAAAGAAAUUAGAAGAUGACUCUUUCAACAUCCAAUGGAAAAUCGUAUAUGGUUAAUCACUGAUCUACAGUUGCAGGUAAGUGAAUCAACGAUCAUCGUGAUGAUGAUUACGAGGUGUUUGAUCCAGUGGGUAUUUGUGGAUCUAUACAUGCCUAAUUAGGUCAUGAGAUUUAAAUCAAUUUAGUGACGGUAAUCUUAUAUGUUUGUUAAUCGUUUCCACUAAAUUGACUAAAUAAUCGGUACGUUUUUGGACUAGACGCCUGUAUAUAGCUUACAUUUAUUAAUAGGUUGGAAUGUAAAUUGAUU